UGUAUCCUCGACCGUCAGAGGGUGGCGCUUGAUUUUAUUUUUAUUAUUUACCGUGCCUUUUUUUCUUGCUGAGGUGAAACGCGAUGCACGACGAUUGCCCCGUUUGACAGCUGCUCAUGAUUUUUCUUCAAUGACCCAACGAGCACCGUCCGUCUUCAUCACACUCCUACACACCCACACAAACACACACAGGGAGAUCCGCUUACCGCAUCAACGCUCGCUAAUUGGGGACGGUCAAAUGUUAUGACGCGCCAAACGUCAACCGGUCGGUCUCUACAGCCGUUGCGCCGCUUGCGCACCCACCAAGCAACAACGAGGAGAAAAAAGGUGUCGCUUUCAUCGAGUUAGUAGUGCUUUUGCUAGGACGAGCAGAAGUGGACGCACGGUGAUUUGAAGGUGAGAAGGUAAUAGCCGCGCGGUGGUGGUAUUGAAAAAAUGUCAAAAAUUCGUCGUGAAACCGAACCGGCGCCCAGCAACCAGCGUCGUGACAAGCAAAUUAACUCGAGUCAAGUCAAGCACCGUAGUAGUAGUAGCAGCCGUAGCAGUAAAGCCACACGGCGCUGAGUAGCGAGCACUUCCCACUUGUUCCGUAUUCGGACGUGGCUCUUGUUGGCCAGCAAAUCUCAGUAUCACUCCGUCGUCGGAGCCUGCCAAAAACCUGCUUAUCAUUUCAGGAAGCACACUAAUUGAGGAUAAGACUUCUUUGUCUCGGUCGGCAUACCGAAGCAGAAGCAGGAGAAGAGGACGUUCAAAUACAGCAUGUUCGUCUCUCGCAGGGAAAAUCGAUUUAUCUUGUCCGUAAAUGGGGAGAAAAGCUACCGACAUUCCACCAAAGCUGAACAAUUGGGGAAGAUUGGACAAAUGUGUUUGUGUUGCAGCGAAGGGAAGGAACACACCCCGACAGCACCGAAGGUAGGUUCCAUCAAUAAUUUUCCAUUCCCAUCCUUCGUACAAGAGUUCCUGGAAGAGAUUUCCAGAUUUCAGAUAUUUUCCCGAAAAAUCAGUCCACCGAAACAUCCGGCUGGACAGAACGGAGGCGCGAUAAAAAUUUCGUGCGUGUGUGAGUGUGUGUUGUCUCUCCCGAGGGUUUUGGAAAGAGUUUGGGAAGGGGAAAAUCAAACAACCUAUCUGAACGAUGUAUCGAAAUGGAAUCGGACGAAGGGCAAUCAUAAAAUUUCCCCAACAUCACCCAGCCACCAAGUCCACCAGAGGAUUGGGGGUGAAAAAAGAAACGACGAGUCAAAUGCUGAGCAUGAAUUAUGAUUAUCCAAAAGGCAUCGAGGCGCCCAAAACGCUCUCACACACAUACACGGAAUGUCCACCCAAAUGGCCAACACGAAAAAGAAAAACCUUCGACAAGGCAAUAAAGAUAACGAUAAGCACAUAAAUUACCUUGCCGAGGGAUCGAUCCCCCAGCACUGCUUCUCUACACUUUACCACCAUAGACACAGUGAGAAGGUACGGGAGCGCGACAAAAACCCAAAAACCCGAUAAAGUAACAUCGUUUCUGUGCAGUUUCCCAUUCAGCCGGUGAGUACAGGAAAAAAAAAAACGAGACGAAACAGUUCCCAAAACCUCUGGAUUGAUAACGUCUGUGCCCGGUCGUAGCGGGCCCUGGGACGGUUUCGUAAUGGUCCAUCAGUUUGACAGUUGUUUCUGGGGAAACUAUUUUUACCCAGUUCGUUCCCGGCACGCGGCUAUCGGGAAAACACCUUGCGGAUGUUCUCGGGGGAGGAGGUACGCGUAUCAGCAAGCGACACUAAAUCUCUGCUCGCGAUAAGCUUCGGUAGGAGUAGUUAGUUGUUCGUUGAGGUUUCUGUUAGUGUUCCUUGUAAAAGUUAUUUACAAGGAAUUCUGUAUUCUUGGCCUAAUACACACUCGGCUGAAGCAGUUAAAAGUCAUCUUUAGUCUAGGGAUUGCAUACUUCCAGGAGCUGUAACCAAUCUCAACUGAUACUGUGUGACUUCCUUCAGGAGCUUAAUGUCUGGCAUACCGCCACGAGGAUAAGAUCAUCAAAACCACGAAAUUGUACAUAUCACCAUCGUUGAUAUAUUUUUUAUCUUGUCUUAUUAUACUACUGGGAAUCCCGACGUUCUAUUAUUAUAGCACAAUCUAAAUUACAUCAUUUAAUCAAUUAGUAUCAACGCUUUCCGCUGCACUGUUCCUAACAAUCGAGCCGAUCAAUCCGAUCCAAUCACCUUCGAUGCCGCCCGGAUCCGUUUCACGGUUAUUAUCGCGACUGGGCAAAGAAAAGCGAGCAGGGAAAGCACCACCAGCAAGCAUCUGGAGAUGACGCGCGAAACCUUUCUUCUCCAGCUGGGCGAAUGGUACCAAAAUACAAAAAAGGAAAGAAAAUCUCCACGACUACAGCACAGCUACAGUAAAAUAAAUACCCACCGACCGGCCCGGGCCAAGUGGGCAAGUAAUUAAUAAAGCAAAGAAACGGUACGUGAUUCCCGUGACAGCCGGAGGACUUAAUUGAGCGAGUGUUUGAGCAUCCAGGCCGUGUAACUAGUGUGUGUGUGUACGGGGUAAUUUUCCUUGGUAUAGAUGCCAUGAAAACCAAUUAAACAGGAAUCAAAUGAGCAUCAUCACCCGCCAUCAUCUUCGUCAACACGGAACGGUCCAGUCAUGGCAUCGGCGGUAAGUAGUGAAAAGUCGCGCAAAGUCACUGUUUUCUUACGAUCCUGGGAAGGAUGGUAUGGGUAUGUUAUUUUUUCGUUUUCUUUUUUUACUUUGAAUUUCCCAACAAGCGGAAGCACACAGACGCUUCGAUAGAUUCGUGACCUCGACCGGUGGAGCUUAUCGGUUGACGGCAGAACCCAACCCCGGAAAAAAAAA